rnacentral:rRNA from 1 species
UACGGGGGGGGCAAGCGUUGUUCGGAAUUACUGGGCGUAAAGGGCGCGUAGGCGGCCUGCUAAGUCGGACGUGAAAUCCCUCGGCUUAACCGAGGAACUGCGUCCGAUACUGGUGGGCUUGAAUCCGGGAGAGGGAUGUGGAAUUCCAGGUGUAGCGGUGAAAUGCGUAGAUAUCUGGAGGAACACCGGUGGCGAAGGCGGUUCUCUGGGCCUUACCUGACGCUGAGGAGCGAAAGCGUGGGGAGCGAACAGG